AUAUAUGUCGAAGAAGCAGUGCCAUGGCCAGUGAGGGUUGUCCGAGGCAUGGUUAUUGCUAGUUGAAAGCUAUCUAAAGCUGACAUCUACCUCAUUAUCUGCCUGAGAGUAUGUACCUAUGUAUUUAUGGUCCCUUUAAAG
rfam:Octopus bimaculoides Scaffold232302_contig_3, whole genome shotgun sequence.